UACGAAGGGGCUAGCGUUGCUCGGAAUCACUGGGCGUAAAGGGUGCGUAGGCGGGUCUUUAAGUCAGGGGUGAAAUCCUGGAGCUCAACUCCAGAACUGCCUUUGAUACUGAGGAUCUUGAGUACGGGAGAGGUGAGUGGAACUGCGAGUGUAGAGGUGAAAUUCGUAGAUAUUCGCAAGAACACCAGUGGCGAAGGCGGCUCACUGGCCCGUAACUGACGCUGAGGCACGAAAGCGUGGG
rnacentral:rRNA from 1 species